rnacentral:rRNA from 1 species
AACGAACGCUGGCGGCAUGCCUAACACAUGCAAGUCGAACGAGACCUUCGGGUCUAGUGGCGCACGGGUGCGUAACGCGUGGGAACCUGCCCUUAGGUUCGGAAUAACUCCCCGAAAGGGGUGCUAAUACCGGAUAAUGUCUUCGGACCAAAGAUUUAUCGCCUUUGGAUGGGCCCGCGUUGGAUUAGCUAGUUGGUAGGGUAAAAGCCUACCAAGGCGACGAUCCAUAGCUGGUCUGAGAGGAUGAUCAGCCACACUGGGACUGAGACACGGCCCAGACUCCUACGGGAGGCAGCAGUGGGGAGUAUUGGACAAUGGGCGAAAGCCUGAUCCAGCAAUGCCGCGUGAGUGAUGAAGGCCUUAGGGUUGUAAAGCUCUUUUACCCGGGAUGAUAAUGACAGUACCGGGAGAAUAAGCUCCGGUUAACUCCGUG